rnacentral:rRNA from 1 species
UACGUAGGGGACGAUCGUUGUCCGGAUUCAUUGGGCGUAAAGAGCUCGUAGGCGGUCGCGUAAGUCGGGUGUGAAAACUCCGGGCUCAAUCCGGAGGGGCCACCCGAUACUGCUCGACUUGAGUCCGGUAGGGGAGUGGGGAAUUCCUGGUGUAGCGGUGAAAUGCGCAGAUAUCAGGAGGAACACCGGUGGCGAAGGCGCCACUCUGGGCCGGUACUGACGCUGAGGAGCGAAAGCGUGGGGAGCAAACAGG